rnacentral:tRNA from 1 species
GAGGGUGUAGCUCAGUGGUAGAGCACAUGCUUAGCAUGCAUGAGGUCCUGGGUUCAAUCCCCAGAAUCUCA